CUGGAGGGGAUGGGGGGGAAGUCUGAGGCCACACGGUUGAGCAGGCGACGGGUGAAGAGCCAGAGCCUGCGGGAGGGGGGUGCUGCAAGGCCGCGUGGGCAUGCAGGCUGGCGCGCUGCACAGCGUCUCCAGGUAGCUGCAGAGGGGAGAGCCUGGCGGGGAACCGGCUUUGGGCGGACAUCUCCCCGGCUUCAUUACGCCGGAGCCUGAAGGAGCAUCAGUGACCUCAGUAUCACCUGGAAGCUUGUUAGAAAUGCCUACUCUCAGCCUCUGCCCCAGAUCAACUGAAUUAGACCCUCCUCUGGCAAGAUCCUUGUGUGAUAUGAAUACAUAUCAAAGGGUCUCCCUCUGAUUUUGAUGCCGUUCUUGACCACAAAAAGGAUACUGCAGCUGGUCCAUGGCCUGCUGGUUGAUGGUCCCCAUGCUGUUGUACACAAAGGUGCUGCUCAGCAGUAUUGCGAGAGCAAAGAUCCAGGA